UGGCAUUUGUGCUUCACUGAAAAAAAAACCUCAUGAAAAUGGAUUUUCCUCAUUUGCAAAUUUGGAACAUUAAUACCUAUCAACUUCCUAUAGCAAUUAAGAGCAUUAGAUGAUGUAUAAGUAUUCUUGAGUUCCUAUAUGAGAAGCCUCUUAUAAAUAUACAGUAAUGUUCUUGGUGGCACAUUUCAAGAUCUCAUUUUCACUUAAGUAAUCUCUUAUAGAUAUUACCUCCUCUAAGUUACAAUUGCUAAAAUCCAUGAAGUAAAAGAAAAUGGAAACUUGAGUUACGCCACCAACAAAGUGAUAAACUGAGUCUAGAGUAGGGCUUACUUCUGUUCUUUCCAUGACCCUUCUGAUGGGUGAUCGUCACAAAAUGAAAAGUUAGUAUUUAUACUUAUUAAUCUUCCUGAAGGAUUCCAGAAUCAACUGACACGAUUUUCAAUUCCAGAGACUCCAAUCAAAGAUUAUAAACAGCCUCAAGCCAUAAUACCAUCCCACUUAUCUUUUUGAGGGUUAUUACAUAAACAACAGCCAGGUUAUAGUCAUAUCUACGCACAUAGUGUGGUUCAAAUCAUAUAGUUCCUGGAAAUCUGAGCUGUCUAAUGUGGUAGCACUAGCUACAUGUGGCUAUUAAAUAUGUGAACUUGGCUAAUCUGAAUUGGUUUGUCCUCUAAGUGUAAAAUACACACCAUUUUCAAAACAGUGUACAAAGAAAAAGAAAUGUAAAUUGUUUAUCACUAAGUAUUUUUAUAUUGAUUGUAUAUCAAAAUGAUAAUAUUUUUAAUAUACUGGGUUAAAUAAGAGUAUUAUUCAAAUAAAUUUAACUUGUUUAUUUUUACUUCUUCUUAAAAAUAUAGCUAAUAGAAAACCUUAAAUUCCAUUUAUGGCUUGCAUUAUAUUUCUAUUGGACAGCAGGGCUCUAAAUAAAGAUGGAGAUCUUCAUAAUGCUGUUCUUCUCAGGACAGAGUUUUCAGAAAAGGAUUUUUAAAAAUCAGGGUUAAGGUUGCUUAAAUAUUCUCUGGCCAAAUUACCUGCCUUUAUCAGAGAUUAAAACCUAAUCUUUAUCUAUAAUCAACUGAAUUUUAGAAUGGUCAUAUGAUAAAAUAUUUGACCAGUUUUGCCAGAGCUUUAAUAAUAUGUGAACCUGUGGUUCUAAAAUCUUUGGAGAAACCUGAACUAUUGAGACAGAGAAAUGACCUUAAUACAUCUCCGGUAGGAUUAUGCAGAACACCCCUACAUAAAAACUCAAAAACAACAUACUGUUGCUGUGGUCCAGCUGUUAUGACUCUGCGCUUCCACUGCAGGGCGCACAAGUUCCCUGGUCAGUGAACUAAGAUCCUGCAUGCUGCAUGGCAGCCAAAAAAACCAAAUCAAACCAAAUACCAAACAAAACACUGCUACAAACGGAAUUGUGUUCCCUGCUCCCAAAUUCCUAUGUUGAAGUUCUAACCCCCAAACGUGACGGUACUGAGAGGUAGAGCCUUUGGGAGGUAAUCAGGUUUUGGAUGAGGCCAAGAGAGUGGGGCACUGAUGAUGGGAUUAUAAGAAGAGAUCAGAACUCUCUUUCCACCACUGUGAGAAGGCAGCUGUCUACAAGCCAACAAGAGAGCCCUCACCAGGAACUAAUUCUGCCAGAACUGAAUCCAGGGUUCUAGUCUUCAGAACCAUGAGAAAGUCAAUUUCAAUUGUUGAAACCACUUCAUCUAUUGCAUUUUGUAUGGCAGCUCAAGCAACUAAUAUCUACCACUUAAAGCAAUCUCUAAUUAAACAUCAUUA
ensembl:lncRNA